AUAGAGAGCUUGCUUUCUUGAUUAGUGGCGCACGGGUGAGUAAUAUAUAGAUAACGUGCCUCUUAGUCUGGGAUAGCCAUUGGAAACGAUGAUUAAUACCGGAUACUUCUUCUGAUUAAAAUUUCAGUCGGGAAAGUUUUUCGCUAAGAGAUCGGUCUAUAUUCCAUCAGCUAGUUGGGGAGGUAAUGGCUCACCAAGGCAAUGACGGAUAGCGGGUUUGAGAGGAUGAUCCGCCACACUGGUACUGAGACACGGACCAGACUCC
rnacentral:rRNA from 2 species